rnacentral:lncRNA from 1 species
AAUGAUGAACCUUCUCAUGUAGUAGGGUCAUGUACCAUGGUACCUUCCACCCUGUGUUCUCAGCCAUGGUGGUACUGGUGAAGUUAGACUUGUUCUGAUGUCCCUCUCUAGCUGCUCCGGGGUCAUCGCCAUGUAAAGUCCAAAGACGAAAAAUAACCCUGAAGGAAGGAGAGAUGACUAGAAAGAAUCCGGUUGACCGCUUUAUGUGUGGAUUAAUUGUUGGAGUAGAGGACCUUGUGCAUUUCAGGUAAAAUAACAACUCAAUGUUUAUAUCCCAGGACAAAUAAGCUAGCUAAAUUGCCAUAAAUGUUUAAUGCUUUUCGACCUGUCCCCAAAUUAAUAUAAUUGGUUGAGAGUUUGUUUUGAUAUUUCGUGUCAUGAUCGCGUUUGGAGUGAGGGGACAAAAUCAAUUUGCGCACGAUGGCGGAUGCACUCGCGCGUCUGGUUUGGGCAUGGUGUAAUGGUUGUUUAAAUCUAAAAUUAGCUUGACGCGUUUUCGGUUAUCCUACAGACUCAGCGCAUUGCUACAUGGUACUUGAAGGAGAAUUGGAGGUUAAUAAUUUAUUACACUGUUUAGAUUGAGCACAUUUAAACGAAAGCUAAACUUCGUCAUGACGAUAUAAACGGAUGGAUGUGUUCCAGAUGAGGAAGGCCAUCUAUUGGCUGAUUUGGCGGCCUGGAGUGUAGGUCAUUGUUUUAUGAAAUGUGAUCCCAUAUCUCCAGUGACAAUAAUUAUGUAGCUAUGAAGUGUUCUCACACGAUUUCCUGAUUUUCACAACUUGGAAGUUACAUCAUGGGGAAAUGUUGUAUUUUACCCACUGAUAGAACAUAAACAUUCACCAAAUAAACAGGAGUUAUGUUUUUUAUUUCUGGGGGUGGAUUAUCCCUUUAAACUGUAUAGUGGUUAAUCAGUAGCCUUGCCUCAACCUAGUCAAAAUGCGAACCAAGGCAGGGUAAAAGAUGCAUUAUUUGUGUAUGUAGAAAUAAGUAACAAACAAGGACAUAUUUUAAUCUUGAUGAAUGACUAUUUGUAAUUUUACGACAAGCUAAGAUGUUCUUUCCCUUUAGUUUACAAUGUCUGUUCUGCCUCUAGUGACUCAGCUGCCUUCUGAUGUUUAUUAAGUCUGCUAAACUCACUCCAAUUUUCACUGUUAUUGAAAUAUGAAAAACUAUGGCCUUGUCAUUAUUAAUUCAUGUUUGCUUGUUGGUAACUUAGACAGGCAAGGGCCUCCAAGUGGCGCAGCGUCUAAAAAUGCUGACCAGACCGCACGCGCGCAUCUGAGUGCACCAUCGCCCGCAUGUUGAUUUUGUCCCCCCACACCAGAGAUCAGGACAGCAGGUUGAUUUUGUCCCCCCACACCAGAGAUCAGGACAGCAGGUUGAUUUUGUCCCCCCACACCAGAGAUCAAAACACACAGGUUGAUUUUGUCCCCCCACACCAGAGAUCAGGACAGCAGGUUGAUUUUGUCCCCCCACACCAGAGAUCAAAACACGCAGGUUGAUUUUGUCCCCCCACACCAGAGAUCAGAACACG